rnacentral:rRNA from 1 species
GAUGAACGCUGGCGGCGUGCCUAAUACAUGCAAGUCGAGCGAACGGACGAGAAGCUUGCUUCUCUGAUGUUAGCGGCGGACGGGUGAGUAACACGUGGAUAACCUACCUAUAAGACUGGGAUAACUUCGGGAAACCGGAGCUAAUACCGGAUAAUAUUUUGAACCGCAUGGUUCAAAAGUGAAAGACGGUCUUGCUGUCACUUAUAGAUGGAUCCGCGCUGCAUUAGCUAGUUGGUAAGGUAACGGCUUACCAAGGCAACGAUGCAUAGCCGACCUGAGAGGGUGAUCGGCCACACUGGAACUGAGACACGGUCCAGACUCCUACGGGAGGCAGCAGUAGGGAAUCUUCCGCAAUGGGCGAAAGCCUGACGGAGCAACGCCGCGUGAGUGAUGAAGGUCUUCGGAUCGUAAAACUCUGUUAUUAGGGAAGAACAUAUGUGUAAGUAACUGUGCACAUCUUGACGGUACCUAAUCAGAAAGCCACGGAUAACUACGU